ensembl:lncRNA
AGAGUUCUGACAUGAGGAAGUGACAAUCUUCCAAGAGCCAAUGUGGAAACAUGGGAGAGCCUCAUGCCUCUUACAACUUGUGCUUACCUGAGGUCUUCCCUUGAUUAUCUUUUUUCUUUAAUUUCAUGUCAGAGUCUUCACCCAGUCAGGCAGUGCUGCCCAGGUAAUUGCUAGCAACGCCUACAGGACUCUUUCAAGCAUGAGAAGGCUAUUUGGAUCACACAACCCUGCCAGCCUGAGGAGCUUGGCUCUGGCUCCUCUUCCUACAGCAGGACGUUGUGAGGAGGUUCUUGACCUUCCUGGUGGUGGGUGUUCCCCAAGCUCUGUCCACCCCAGCUUUGCUCUCAGCCACAGCUCCAGGAAACUGCUAUGGAGACGGCUCUUUGCCACCCCUUGGAUGCUCCUGAGGUUUCCAGAGAGGAAGACAGCCAGCCUGAGACUGCUGCAACACAGAGGCAAGUCCUAGGGGCUGGGGUCAGUGUUGAUGACUGUAGGGAAGAGUGAUGGGGUCCAGGGAGAGUGAGGAUAGGGGAUAAACCACAGAGCCAAGGGGCUGCUGGAGCAGAUGUGUACAGUUGAAGAGGUAUAGUGUGUGGAAAGAAGGAUACUUGUGAAGAGAGGAGGAGUCUGCUUGGUGAGGAAAUGAGGCUGGGGAGCUUGAAGGGUCAUUGCAGUGCCCAGUACCAGAGUAUCAGAGGUGGAUGUGGGAUGGUGAGAAAGGGCUGGAGGGAAGCCACAGCAAAAGAGGAGGGGGAGAAGUACUGCACUCCUCUUGUGCAGCAGAGUCCCUGUGUGGGGUGGUCAUUGGAGAUUAUGGGGAGUUCAAAGGGGCCUGGACAUGGGAGGACAGGAUGCACCUCAUGUUCUGUCAUCUGUACUUGAGGGGUGUGUAGUUGUAUGAGGAGAGUAGAGAAGGCUGGGAGCUAUGUGGAAAAGGACCAGGGCUGCCAAGUUGGAAGUGGAGACUGGAGUGUCUCCAUGAGACGCAGUGGAGGUUGGAGGAAGCAGGAACACAUGGGGCACAGGAACGAUCAUGUGUGUGAAGCAGCAUCAGUGGAUGGAAGGGGUUGAAAGCUGAGUGGGGCUUGGGAAGCCUAGGAGGGGUAUAUGAGGGCAUACUGGCUAGCGCUGGGAAUGCGGGUGUGUGAGCUAUAUAAGGCAGUAUAUAAAGUGAUGUGGAUAUAAAGUAAAAAUCUGAACCUAUCCACAGCAAGUAGGGCUGUGCAUGGCUGGGAAGGUGCUGAGGGGGUGCAGUCCCAGGGAAAUGCUCCCGGAAGAGAUGUGGUGCAGCAGGAGCGGCAGUGGCUCUCUGGGCAUGGGGAGAGGGGAGGAGGGGUGCGGGUGGGGGCCAGGGGCUGGUGGAGGUCAGUUCUAGCCCGGGGGAGGUCUCAUAUCAGUGCGGGAUCCAGAGCGGGGGCAAGGUGCGGGCCUGUACGCGGCAGGCCUCUGGGCUGCGGAUGUGCGGGUCCGUGCAGCGCGCAGGGUGCCCGCUGAUACCCGCUCCACGUUGGGGCCUCAGUCGGGGCUCGAUGCGCGGCAUGGCCCCGUGGGGAGCCGGUUCCGGUUCCGGCGGAGCCUGAGCCGGGGCGGCGGGCGGGCUGCUGGGCGGGGGAGGAGCCGCCGGAGCCCGAGCUUGCGCUCUGGAGCCGGGCGGCGGUGGGACCCGGAGAACAAGGGGCGCGGGAGGACCGGGUGCACGGAGGCCGCAGCCGGGGCGGGGGUCGGUGCGGGCCGCGUGAGCGCCGGGGCGGUGGCCGGGGGUCGCGGGCCGCGGCGGGCCGGGGGCGGAGGCGCAGAGGCGCAGAGGCGGAGGCCU